rnacentral:misc_RNA from 1 species
AUGGAAGUAACGCGGGCUAAUUUCCAGGAAGUUCUGGAAGAAUUGGAUGAAAUUUUGACAAACUCAACAUUUUUAGCAAUUGACGGAGAAUUUACAGGACUUAAUGCUGGACCAGAUUGUAAACCUUUUGAUACACCUUCUCAGUAUUAUCAGAAAUUAAAAUCAGGGUCUAUGGAUUUUCUUCUUGUACAAUUUGGUCUCUCGGUUUUUACUUAUGAUACAGACACUGAUAAGUAUACUCAACGAUCAUACAAUUUCUAUGUAUUUCCGAAGCCAUUUAAUAGAUCAGCACCAGAUUGUCGUUUUAUGUGCCAGGCAUCAUCGAUUGCUUUUCUAGCAUCUCAGGGAUUUGACUUUAAUAAGUUAUUCCAGACAGGAAUACCUUAUUUAACUAGUAGUGAUGAAAAAAAAUUGAGUACAAAAUUAGUAGAGAAACAAAAGCUUCGAGAAGAUGGAGCAGAUAUUAUAUUUAUAUCUGAUGAUGAUAAGCCUUUAAUUGAGGAUAUUUGCUCAAGAAUAGAAGAAUUUCUUGAUUCUUCCGAUGAUGAAAUUAUGAUAGAUAGAUGUAAUGCUUAUAUCAGAAGACUAAUGUGUCAAGAAGCGCGAUUGAGAUGGCCUGGAAAAAUUAGAUUAGAAGGAAAAGUUGAUGGGACGACGCAAGCUCUUAUGGUCUAUAAAAUGGGAAGUAGAGAAGAAGAACUCAAAAAAGAAGCCGAAAGAAGAGAAAAAGAACAAGAAGAAUUAAAAGAAGCUGUUGGACUUAGUGCAUUGCUCCGAAAAAUUGCUGAUUCGGGAAAAUUGAUUGUCGGACACAACAUGCUUCUGGAUUUAUGCCAUAUUGUUCAUCAAUUUUUUGGUCCAUUACCUGAUUCUUAUUUAGAUUUCAAAGACUUAAUUCACGAUUUAUUCCCUAAACUUAUCGAUACGAAAAUUUUGUCACAAUCAUCACAACUUAAAGAUCUCAUACCUUCAUCGAUAUUGUGCUAUAUGUUAGAUACUGUUAAUCAACCUCCAUUUUCGUUACCUGAAAUAAUUCCUGUCGAGAACAGGAGCUAUAAAGUAUCAGCUGAAGUUUAUCAUGAAGCUGGUUACGAUGCCUAUGUUACUGGACUGUGUUAUAUAGCAAUGGCAAAUUAUUUAGGAUCAUUAGAAUCUACAAAAAUAUCUACAAUACUUCCAGAUUCUCCUGUCAUAAAACCAUACAUCAAUAAGUUAAUGAUUGUUAAGUUAAAAGAUUUUCCACAUAUUGAUCUUGUUGGAGAUGAUCCAACACCGGAUCGGAAUCAUGUUUUUCACAUAACAUUUCCUAAAGACUGGAAGUUAAAUAAUCUCCAACAAGUUUUCGUACCAUUUGGCGGUGCCUACGUAUCGUGGUUAAGUGACACAACAGCCUACGCGGGAUUAAGGUGUAAAGAGAAGGCGUCGAUGCUCUUAAAGAAAAUAAAAAAGACCGGUACUUUAGGACAAGCGACAGUUCAAACGUAUGCAAAAUACCAAGCAUCUCUUGAAUUAUCAAAUCAAAAAAAUAAGCAUGAAGGUAACAAAGGAGGAGACCGCAAACGGAAGCAACAAUUGUCAGAAAACUCCAGAUACAAAGUAAACCACCUAGUGUCUACUGCUGCCGCUAAUAAUGAUAAUGAUGAUGAUGAUGAUGAUGAUGAUGAUGAUGAUGAUGAUGAUGGUAAUAAUGAUGAUGGAGAUGAUAACAAACAAGAUGGUGAUGGAUGGAAAAUUGCAUCAGGUGGCGAAGGGGCCUCGAUUAAUUGCAGUGAUUAGAAGUCGUGAUAGACAGAGAUCCUAAGACGACAACGAACGCAGGACAACUUUUGCCACUUUGCCAUGUCAUUUGCCACAACUUGGAGUAAGCGUAAAAGAAAAUAUAAUAAAGGACCUGGAAAUGAGUGCAGUGAUGUGGAGACUAAACAGAAGAAGAUUUUUCCAGAGAAUUCCUGGGAAUAGAUCAUACAUAUGGAAAUAUUGAACUAUCAAUUAUAAGGAUUAUUGUUUAUUAAUCACUGUAAAUUAAUAAACACUAAUUAUUAGUAAGAUAAAUAAAAAAAAAACAAAAUGAUGGAAUGUUUUCACUAAUGAAUAAAUUAAAAACGUAAAUGUAUUUUCUCACAUUUAGUUAAU